CUUCAAUAUAAUCUGCCUGGUUGCCUAACGUUAACAGAUACUAUUCUUUAAGAGCAAAGGAUAACAUCUAGAAGUAUGCUCCUACCUAAGAGAAAACAUUUCAUAAAAACUGACAUGCUGAAGAAACCAAGGCUUGGGGAUAAUAAGUGAUGUUGUCAAGAAUGCACCUUUACGAACUGAAAUGAGAAGAAUAUACAAUUUAUUAGGCAGUGGAUUCUGCUGGCCUGCCCAUGAAGCACAUGUACCCUGCUCUGUUAUCUGUCCAUGGUGAAAGGGCCUGCAGCUGAAGCUGCAGACUUACCAUCAGCUACAAUCCAAGUGGAACUGCUGUGGAGAUGAUGGAAAGUGAUCUUGAGUGAACAAAACAGGCAGCAUGGGGACCAGAAAUCUGGAGCUGGAUGGUGCUGGGUCUACCAGAGGCAUCUAGGGCAGAUCUGCUCUCAAAGUUUCCAGUAGCUCUGUGGGGUGAGAAAAUUGGUAACAGGUUAAACUUUCUGUGAUCAAUGGGUUUGGGAGAUGAGGUUGGAGAGGCAGGCUGGAGUAUGAC